ACAUACAUCUAAACAAUGUAAUAAGACUUUGUGCUCUUUACAAUUGGUAUCAUUUAUUUAUUUGCUAUUUGCUUUAGUUGUGUUAUCAUCAAUCACUAAAAAGAGAGAUAUUGUAGCGAAAAUGACCAUAUUAAGCUAUGUAUGUGAUUUUAGUGAUUAAUGAUAACAUAGUUAAUGAGGCUAACAUGUUUGCCAAGUAUAUGCUUUAGUAUGUCUCAUGGUACAAUGCAUAAAGAAGUCACCACAACCGAACUCAAGAUUGAUUGAAUUGGACGAGUUCUGGGCAAAAUGAUUCCACUGGAUGGUCCAUUGUUCAGGGGUUGAACUCAACGGAGUAUUUUGUCCAGAGGCAAAAUAAAGGCUAAUGACUUCACCAGAUAGUCUGGUGGUCUGUGUGUUAAAAUCACCAGAGUAUUUAUGCAGCAGAGUUACCUCAAGGCAAAAAGAUUUGAAAGCACCGGAUAGUCCGAUGACGAGGGGUAUAAAGCACUGGAGCAUUACUUGCAGAGGCGAUUCUAAGUGCUGAAGAAUGAAGAUCAGUUAACCGGAUUGUCCAACACUUGUGUUGUGUACACCGGAGUAUUAUCACAUGAGUAUUUCUACCAGAAAAGGUGUCAGCUGUUGAAGAUUGAAGCUUAACUCACCAGUUGUUCCGGUGUGAAGAGUAUGCACACCAGAUGAUUACCAGAGUAUUUCCAACGGUUAGUGUCACAUGUCAAAUGGCUAGCUGCGAGUGGGGACCAUACGGGAUUGUACGAUGUCCAGAGGAAGCAACACACCAAACAAUUCGGUGUUAAGGAAAAAUUCUGACCGUUGGGCAACGGCCAAUCCACGGGCUUGAGGCUAUAAAUAUCUCUACAACUCGGUAUUUGAUGGAGCUGGAGCGUGCUGGAGUCCAGAGAAACACAGAGACACUUGAGAAGACAUCUAAGCCACCAAAGUGCUAAAAGUGAUAAUCUAAGGCAAUUAACACAUAGAUUAGUGAGUGAUUAGUGUUAUUAGACCUAGAGAGUGUUGCUAGGUGAUUGAUGCUUAGAGAGUGGAUCAACGAGUGAUCUAAGCUUGUACCGAGAGGUGCGCUGACGCCUUGGAGUCUUGGUGACUCGCCGACAUCUUAUGUCUUGGUGGCUCAAGCUUGUUGACCUUCUAACUUAGUGUGGAGCGGUGGCAAGAUGCUUGUACAGGGACGUGAAGACCAUUACCUUGGUGGCUCAAGCUUCGAAGUGACUACAACGACAAGCAGUCGGAAGAGGCUAGUGAUGAGACAUUGCCUUGGUGGUUUGACAGCUCAUCCGGCUUGAGGUCUUGCCUUGGUGGCUCAAGAGCUGUAACCGGAUGCUGUCCGGUAGCAUAUCCUUGAUGGAGCUCCAACGUGAACUAUCGAUACCACAGAAUAAAAAUCCCUUAUGACGGGUUUGCUUUCUACCUUAUUUACGUUUCUGCAUUACAUACUUGCAAUCUAUCUUUGCUCAUUUAUUUUUCUAGAGUAGUUUGCUAGGAUUGGUUAUAGGUUGUAAGCUUUUUGAACGAUAGAGUAGACACUAGAUAAACCCAAAACAUUUUAGAUAGAAAUUGAUAUAGAUUUAUCUUGUGAAGUUUUUAGAGCCAGUUAGGUUUUUAAAUAUCCUAAUUAACUGCUCUCUUAAAACGUCACCGAUCCCUUCAAUUGCAAAUUAUAUGAGUUCAUCCUUCAUAGACCAAAGCAAGUUUCACCAACGUAGAUGGACACUUACCAGCAUUAAUUUCAUUCAUAGCCCUUUUAACUUUUUCAUCGGGUUCUAUGUCAACAAUGAGUGUUUGCACAAUCUCAUAACCAUAAGCACACAUUGCCUUUUCAAGCUCUUCCUCCACAGCUUUUGCUAUUUCAUUCUUUUGCUCAAAAACGUCAUCCAGUUCAAGUUUGGGAACACUUGCCCUUACAACUGUGAGAAAGAGAACAUGUAAGAUUCAAUAGGAUAUUCUACUGUUAUUAUAUUGUAGAAGAUCUAUGGAAAUCUAAGUAGAUGUCCUGUAUAUGCCCUUGUCAAAAACCUUGUCGAGGGGAUCUUUAGCACUGAUAAAUCCAAGUAUUAUCCAUAUCUUUGAGAACUUCCAGAAAUGACUACCCCCCCCCCCCCCGGUCUCAGAAUAGCUGCACACUUUUGUAGGAUUCAGGUUCAAAAUGGUUUUCAUCCAGGGAACCAAGACUGUAGUCAUUACAGCUUUUCCAUCCUAUAAAUACCAUGAAGAUGUUGCUUGAUUUAAAUGAGUUAUUUCAUAAUUAAGGGUAAGCAUGGUCCAGUACUCAAUGCUAUCGACUAUAAUUUUGACUAUGUACCUCCCUAGUAUGUACGCAAAUGGACUAUGGAGUGAGUAUAUUUUUAAGAAGUUAAACUUACCAUCAAAGACAUAUGAUUGUAUUUGAGCUCUUGGGUUGCUCAGCUUGUAGUAUGCAUCACUUGCCUUGUCUUCCAUUGCUCGGUAUUGAAUGGAUGCAACAACAGUUACGAAAACAUUAUCCUGUGAGAGGAUGCAUAAACAAAAAUACGUUCAGAAAUUAUCUUCAGAAGAAGUAGUGAAUAAGGGGAGCAAAAGACCAAAAUAAUCGCACCAGAAAAUACAUAGUAAAAACUAAUAGGUUUCUGGACAAUCUUUAUGAUGAACAUGGAAGCUGAAUCUGACUUGUGAGAAGUCAAAAGUGAGAUACCAUAGUACCUUUGUCUUUGUCUCACAACGGACAUCGAGCUGCCUAAGCCUUAGUGUGAGCUCACCAGUGAUGCGGUUUCCGAUUAUCCAUGGGACGAAAUGGCACCCAGGAUCGAGCACUUCUUCGAACUUCCCAAAUCUUUCCUUGAUGCCUACUGUUGACUGGUUCACCUGUGCAAAGCAGAGGAACCUGCCGAUUGCCGCCACUAGUUUCCCCAUUCUAAUGUCUGUCUUGAAACAAUGAGGAUUCCGAAUCAAUCUUAUCAACAACUUAAUUAUAGAACUUAGUAUUGCCAGACACUACUUUUUGCAGGUAAAUUAUGUGUGGAAGCUUUGCACCGUACAAGAGAACUGAGUACCUAUAGGUAACCCGAGGACUGAGGCAUGUUAGCAACACAAUUUAUAUGAUAUAAAUGUUGAAAUCUGUAAAGUUAUGUGUAGAUAGACUAAUAAAUUGUGGCAUCAUUCAUUGUGUAUAUUUUCGUUUGUUUUGCUGAAUUUGAUCCUCUGCUCUUGGUGAUCUGCGGAAGCCUAAGGUUUACACGCCAGUAUAACGAAAGGUGGCUACACUUUGUUCACCAAAGUUCACAAACCACAUACCCUCUCCAAUUAUUGCUGCUGUAGCAAAAAAAAAUUCGCUUGCACGUGAUUGGCCUAAAAGAUACUCCUACUGUUGUUUCUCUUCUCUUCUCAACUUAUUUACAAUAUACUUUUGCCCUUUUACUAGUUGAACCAUCUGACUCUAUGUACACUUGAAGAAAAAAGGUUAUGACAGAAAAUACUUUGCAUGAAACGAAGAGAAAAUUUUCCCUAUUACAGGGUUUUGCUUCAUGAAACAUGAGACAUAGUUGAGGAAUGAGAAUAGUUGGCUUACAUUACCCUCUCUUUCGAACUUUGAGCACUGGAGCGACAAUCGCUGCUGAAGAUUUGUAUUUACUUAUGAUGGUUUGGAUGAUGGCGCUUUUAUACUAGAGUUCUCAGCAUUGCAAACCAAGAAGUUUAGUAUUCAGGUCAACGUCUGCAUUUUCUCUAUCAUUCCCUGGUCAGAUCCUUUUUCCAAGAGCAAGGAGAAACUGCUUGGAGGACAUUUUUAUGGUUGGAUAUCUUCAAGAAACCAUCAUUCCAUACAGCGGCUGACCCGGCGGGCGGCGUUAGCUGCUUGCAAAGGAACCUUGCGGCUGGCAGCUCAAUGAGGCAGACAACCGAGCGAUCCUCCAAUCGGAUCGCGCAGUAGAAUGACACUUGUAUUCAGAAAAUCAGUGGACAUCAAAAUGUUGCUGUAGCACACAAUCUUGCUCAACAAUCAUGUUAGGUGGCAGCUGGUGCCGUUGUUUAUCUGAGCGUAUUGUAUUGUUCCCAGAUUUGUACUGAACUACUGAUAGUAAAACUUCAUGCUUUUCCUCACAAAAAAGGUAACUUAUUUUGACAACCCUACUCAAAUCAUUGGUUUUCAAUGGAUUUCAGUGUAUUUAGCUAUUUUUCGUGAAGUUGUAAAGGUUUAAUCAUUGAUAUAACCCCGCUCAUGUU